CUUUUCUCAGGCAGCAGUGGGGAAUUUUGGACAAUGGGGGCAACCCUGAUCCAGCCAUGCCGCGUGAGUGAAGAAGGCCUUCGGGUUGUAAAGCUCUUUCGCGAGAGAAGAAACGGUGGAUGUUAAUACCAUCCACUACUGACGGUAUCUUGAGAAGAAGCACCGGCUAACUACGUGCCAGCAGCCGCGGUAAUACGUAGGGUGCAAGCGUUAAUCGGAAUUACUGGGCGUAAAGCGUGCGCAGGCGGUUUGAGAAGUCAGAUGUGAAAUCCCCGGGCUUAACCUGGGAAUGGCGUUUGAAACUCUCAAGCUAGAGUUUGGCAGAGGGGGGUAGAAUUCCACGUGUAGCAGUGAAAUGCGUAGAUAUGUGGAGGAAUACCGAUGGCGAAGGCAGCCCCCUGGGCCGAAACUGACGCUCAUGCACGAAAGCGUGGGGAGCAAACAGGAUUAGAUACCCUGGUAGUCCACGCCCUAAACGAUGUCAACUAGUUGUUGGAGGAGUCAAUCUUUCAGUAACGCAGCUAACGCGUGAAGUUGACCGCCUGGGGAGUACGAUCGCAAGAUUAAAACUCAAAGGAAUUGACGGA
rnacentral:rRNA from 1 species